rnacentral:tRNA from 1 species
GGAGGUAUACCUCAGUGGUAGAGCAUGUGCCCAGCAUGCACAGAGUCCUGGGUUCAAUCCCCAGUAUCUCCA